UACGAAGGGUGCUAGCGUUGUUCGGAAUUACUGGGCGUAAAGCGCGCGUAGGCGGUAAUACAAGUCAGGGGUGAAAUCCCGGAGCUUAACUCCGGAACUGCCUUUGAGACUGUAUUGCUGGAGUGUGUGAGGGGAUAGCGGAAUUCCUAAUGUAGAGGUGAAAUUCGUAGAUAUUAGGAGGAACACCGGUGGCGAAGGCGGCUAUCUGGCACACAACUGACGCUGAGGCGCGAAAGCGUGGGGAUCAAACAGG
rnacentral:rRNA from 1 species